CGAGCGUUAGUCGGAAUCACUGGGCUUAAAGGGUGCGUAGGCGGCUUAUCAAGUGUUUUGUGAAAUCCCACAGCUCAACUGUGGAACAGCAGGGCAAACUGAUAAGCUUGAGGCAGGUAGGGGCCGGAAGAACAGUUGGUGGAGCGGUGAAAUGUGUUGAUAUUGGAAGGAACACCGGAGGCGAAAGCGGUGUACUGGGGCUGGUCUGACGCUGAGGCACGAAAGCCAGGGGAGCGAACGGG
rnacentral:rRNA from 1 species